UACGUAGGUCCCGAGCGUUGUCCGGAUUUAUUGGGCGUAAAGCGAGCGCAGGUGGUUUAUUAAGUCUGGUGUAAAAGGCAGUGGCUCAACCAUUGUAUGCAUGGAAACUGGUAGACUUGAGUGCAGGAGAGGAGAGUGGAAUUCCAUGUGUAGCGGUGAAAUGCGUAGAUAUAUGGAGGAACACCGGUGGCGAAAGCGGCUCUCUGGCCUGUAACUGACACUGAGGCUCGAAAGCGUGGGGAGCAAACAGG
rnacentral:rRNA from 1 species